rnacentral:rRNA from 1 species
AACGAACGCUGGCGGCAGGCUUAACACAUGCAAGUCGAGCGCCCCGCAAGGGGAGCGGCAGACGGGUGAGUAACGCGUGGGAAUCUACCCUUUUCUACGGAAUAACGCAGGGAAACUUGUGCUAAUACCGUAUAAGCCCUUCGGGGGAAAGGUUUAUCGGGAAAGGAUGAGCCCGCGUUGGAUUAGGUAGUUGGUGGGGGGAAGGCCUACCAAGGGGACAGUCGAUAGCUGGUCUGAGAGGGUGAGCGGCCACAUUGGGACUGAGACACGGCCCAAACUCCUACGGGAGGGAGCAGUGGGGGAUAUUGGACAAUGGGCGCAAGCCUGAUCCAGCCACGCCGCGUGAGUGAUGAAGGUCCUUGGGUUGUAAAGCUCUUUCACCGGUGAAGAUAAUGACGGUAACCGGAGAAGAAGCCCCGGCUAACUACGUGCCAGCCGCCGCAGUAACAC